GACAGAGGGUGCAAGCGUUGUUCGGAAUUAUUGGGCGUAAAGGGCGCGUAGGCGGUUUGUUAAGUCGAAUGUGAAAGCCCAGGGCUCAACCCUGGAAGUGCAUCCGAAACUGGCUAACUAGAAUCUCGGAGAGGGUGGUGGAAUUCCCAGUGGAGAGGUGAAAUUCGUAGAUAUUGGGAGGAACACCGGUGGCGAAGGCGACCACCUGGACGAAGAUUGACGCUGAGGCGCGAAAGCGUGGGGAGCAAACAGG
rnacentral:rRNA from 1 species